GGGGACAGAGUAACUAGCGGGACAGGGUAUUAGUGGCAUAGAGGCUAAGAGAGGCAUGGGAUUACUGCCCUUUGCACGUAGUGCUGCAAUGUAAAACAUUGCAGUUCCAUUCCAUGUUUACAUUGCAGCACUAAGUCUGCCCCAGUAGCUGUCUACCAGAAAGCCACUGGGGGCGCUUGCGAAAUCGAAACAGACUUUUGGUCUGUUAUCUGAUGCGGGACGUCC